UACGUAGGGGGCAAGCGUUGUCCGGAUUUAUUGGGCGUAAAGAGCGUGUAGGCGGCUUGGCAAGUCCGCUGUGAAAACUCGAGGCUCAACCUCGAGAGGUCGGUGGAAACUGCCUGGCUAGAGUCCGAAAGAGGAGAGUGGAAUUCCUGGUGUAGCGGUGAAAUGCGCAGAUAUCAGGAAGAACACCCGUGGCUAAGGCGGCUCUCUAGUACGGUACUGACGCUGAGACGCGAAAGCGUGGGGAGCAAACAGG
rnacentral:rRNA from 1 species